GAAAGUCAGACAUGGUUCUGCAUCGUUAAAGGUGCAGUUAUACACAUACCAGUGAAGUUCUGCCUGUGACUACAGUGGCAACAGGAUCAGGGCCUCAGUUUGAAAACAAGAAUCUGGAAUAUUGAACAACAAUCACCACCACCACCUCUUAUGACCAAAAUGGAGGUUGAUUGAAGUAUUCUGAUCGCGCCACGGGUUUUGGAUCAUGUGAGCCUGGCCCUACAGCAUACUACAACAAAGUGACAACCGCCAUGAACACCCAACACAGCCGAGAGACAGUGAUCUGAAUUCUAGUCCUUCUCAUGUACCAACAAAACCGUUAGCUAAAUUCCAGUGAUAGAUCUUUAUUGUUGAUGAUGUAUGAAGAAGAAAGAACUCAGUUUGACCUUCAGGUCCCAGCACCCCUCUCCUGGCAGCAACCUGUGAGAGAUGUCACACCCGCAGGACUAGUUCCUACAUCAUUAACCAAGGCAAGGGUGUUUUACUAAAAACACAACUCUCUUACAAGGGUACGUACUUCCACAGCGUAAUGUCCGCAGAUAAUAGGCUUUGACCUGUCUCCUGUGAAGGUGUCAUAUGGGCCGCGAUUACUGACCACACGUUUCAACACCUCGUCUGUACUGUUUUUGAGAUUGUAGGUGCCUGGCCCCAAACCACUUCCCUAAAAGUCAACAGGGAGCAAAAACAACCAUCAGUGAUCGCUCUGUUGGGGAGUGGAGUCCUAGGUUGUGCUCAUUUGGAAGCCGGACACUAACGGCAGCCCUGGGCAAUGGCUGGUAUGCAGGUCAAUACGGGAGCUGAAUGAAAAACAAAUAGCGCAGACUUGCCGCAGC